rnacentral:rRNA from 1 species
GACGAACGCUGGCGGCGUGCUUAACACAUGCAAGUCGAGCGGUAAGGCCCUUUCGGGGGUACGACGAGCGGCGAACGGGUGAGUAACACGUGGGUGACCUGCCCUCAGCUCUGGGAUAAGCCUGGGAAACCGGGUCUAAUACUGGAUAUGACUCCAUGACGCAUGUUGGUGGGGUGGAAAGCCUUGUGCGGCUGAGGAUGGGCCCGCGGCCUAUCAGCUUGUUGGUGGGGUGANGGCCUACCAAGGCGACGACGGGUAGCCGGCCCGAGAGGGCGACCGGCCACACUGGGACUGAGACACGGCCCAGACUCCUACGGGAGGCAGCAGGUGGGGAAUCUUGCGCAAUGGGCGAAAGCCUGACGCAGCGACGCCGCGUGA